rnacentral:rRNA from 1 species
CAGAGGGUGCGAGCGUUAAUCGGAGUUACUGGGCGUAAAGGGCGCGUAGGCGGUAAUAUGAGUGUGAUGUGAAAGCCCCGGGCUUAACCUGGGAAGUGCAUCGCAAACGAUAUAACUAGAGUAGAUGAGAGGGUGGCGGAAUUUCCGGUGUAGCGGUGAAAUGCGUAGAGAUCGGAAGGAACGUCGAUGGCGAAGGCAGCCACCUGGCAUCAUACUGACGCUGAGGCGCGAAAGCGUGGGGAGCGAACAGGAUUAGAUACCCUGGUAGUCCACGCCGUAAACGAUGAGAACUAGAUGUUGGUAGGGGAACCUAUCAGUAUCGAAGCUAACGCGAUAAGUUCUCCGCCUGGGAAGUACGGCCGCAAGGUUG